UACAGAGGGGGCAAGCGUUGUUCGGAUUUACUGGGCGUAAAGGGCGCGUAGGCGGCCACCGCAAGUCGAUUGUGAAAUCUCCGGGCUCAACCCAGAGAGGCCACCCGAUACUGCUGUGACUAGAGUGCGGUAGGGGAGCGGGGAAUUCCUGGUGUAGCGGUGAAAUGCGCAGAUAUCAGGAGGAACACCGAUGGCGAAGGCAGGUCUCUGGGCCACUACUGACGCUGAGAAGCGAAAGCAUGGGGAGCGAACAGG
rnacentral:rRNA from 1 species